AGUGAACGCUGGCGGUAGGCCUAAUACAUGCAAGUCGAACGGCAGCACAGUAAGUGCUUGCUCUUACGGGUUGCGAGUCGCGGACGGGUGAGGAAUACAACGGACUCUACUUUUUCGUGGGAGUUAACGUAGGGAAAGUUAAGCUCAUAUCGCAUACGAUCUUCCAGUACAUGCAGGUGAUAUUCGGAAUUUGAGCACUUGCAUGAGCCGAUGUUGGAUUAGCUAGUUGGCGGGGUGAAGACCCACCAAGGCGACGAUACAGAGCUGGUCGGAGAGGGUGAGAGGCCAAACUGGGAAUGAGACACGGCCCAGACUCAUACGGGAGGCAGCAGUAGGGAAUCGUCGGCAAUGGACGGAAGGCUGACCGAGCAACGCCGCGGGAGUGAAGAAGGUUUUCGGAUCGUAAAGCUCUGUUGUAAGAGAAGAAAGAGUGUGAGAGUGGAAAGUUCACACUGUGACGGUAUCUUACCAGAAAGGGACGGCUAACUACGUG
rnacentral:rRNA from 1 species